UACGGAGGGUGCAAGCGUUGUCCGGAUUUAUUGGGUUUAAAGGGUGCGUAGGCGGCUAUUUAAAUCAGUGGUGAAAUACAGCAGCUCAACUGUUGAGGUGCCAUUGAUACUGAAUAGCUUGAGUACAGAUGAGGUAGGCGGAAUUUAUGGUGUAGCGGUGAAAUGCUUAGAGAUCGUCCAGAACACCGAUAGCGAAGGCAGCUUACUAAGGAGUAACUGACGCUGAGGCACGAAAGUGUGGGGAUCAAACAGG
rnacentral:rRNA from 1 species